GUGCUCACUUUGCCAGCACAUACACUAAAAAAUUGGAACGAUAUAGAAAGAUUAGCAUGGCCCCUGUGCAAGGAUGACACACAAACUCGUGAAGCAUUCCAUAUUUUC
rnacentral:snRNA from 1 species